AGUGAACGCUGGCGGUAGGCCUAACACAUGCAAGUCGAACGGCAGCACAGGAAGUGCUUGCUCGUACGGGUGGCGAGGGGCGGCCGGGGGAGGAAUACAUCGGAAGCUAUUUUUUCGCGGGGGAGGACGUAGGGAAACUUACGGUGAUACCGCCUACGCUCUACUGGCGAAUGCAGGGGAUCUUCGGACUUUGCGCGAUUGAAGGAGGCGAUGUCGGAUUAGCUAGUUGGCGGGGUAAAGGGGCAACAAGGCGACGAUCCGUAGCUGGUCUGAGAGGAUGAUCAGCCACACUGGAACUGAGACACGGUCCCGACUCCUACGGGAACCAGCAGCGGGGAAUAUUGGACUAUGAGCGCGAGCCUGAUCCUGCCAUAGCGCGUGCGUGAAGAAGGCGUUCGGGUUGUAAAGCCCUUUUGUUUGGAAAGAAAAGCAACAGAUUUAUUCCCCGCUGUUCUGACGGUACCCAAAGAAUAAGCACCGGCUAACUUCGUG
rnacentral:rRNA from 1 species